rnacentral:lncRNA from 1 species
GUCUUUGGUUAAUGCCUCAAUUUCCAGCUCUGUGGUAAAAAGCUACUUCUCCAGUGAAAUCUACUACAUCUAUCACUGAUGCUAAAAGUUGUGAGGGACAAAAUCCUGAGCUACUUCCAAAAACUCCUAUUAGUCCUCUGAAAACGGGGGUAUCGAAACCAAUUGUGAAGUCAACUUUAUCCCAGACAGUUCCAUCCAAGGGAGAAUUAAGUAGAGAAAUUUGUCUGCAAUCUCAAUCUAAAGACAAAUCUACGACACCAGGAGGAACAGGAAUUAAGCCUUUCCUGGAACGCUUUGGAGAGCGUUGUCAAGAACAUAGCAAAGAAAGUCCAGCUCGUAGCACACCCCACAGAACCCCCAUUAUUACUCCAAAUACAAAGGCCAUCCAAGAAAGAUUAUUCAAGCAAGACACAUCUUCAUCUACUACCCAUUUAGCACAACAGCUCAAGCAGGAAACUCACUGUCAGAGCACUCCCCUCAAAAAACACCAAGGUGUUUCAAAAACUCAGUCACUUCCAGUAACAGAAAAGGUGACCGAAAACCAGAUACCAGCCAAAAAUUCUAGUACAGAACCUAAAGG